NNNNNNNNNNNNNNNNNNNNNNNNNNNNNNNNNNNNNNNNNNNNNNNNCCCUCUUGCCCUCCCGCCCCGCCAGCAGCUCUCGCUGCGGCCCGGCGCCCCCCGAGCCUUCGGCCUCGUUGUCCUCCUCCUCGUCCUCCUCCUCGUCCUCCUCGUCCUUGUCCUCAUGGUCUUCAUCCUCCUGGUCCUCGUCCUCGUCCUCCUGGUCCUCGUCCUUGUCCUCCUCGUCCCUGUCUCCUCCUCGUCCUCCUGGUUCUCGUCCUCCUGGUCCUCGUGGUCCUCGUCCUCCUGGUCCUUGUCCUCAUGGUCCUCGUGGUCCUCGUCUCUGUCUCAUCCCUCCUCGUCCUCGUGAUCCUCGUCCUCGUGGUCCUCGUCCCUGUCUCGUCCUUGUCCUCCUCGUCCUUGUCCUCCUGGUCCUCGUCCUCCUCGUCCCUGUCUCGUCCUCCUCCUCCUCCUCCUCCUGUCCUCCUCGUCCUUGUCCUCAUGGUCCUCGUCCCUGUCUCGUCCUCCUCGUCCUCCUGGUCCUCGUCCUCCUGGUCCUCGUCCUCCUCCUCCUCGACCUCCUGGUCCUCAUCCUCCUUGUCCUUAUCCUCCUCAUCCCUGUCUCGUCCUCCUCCUCCUUGUCAUCUUCCUUGUCCUCCUGGUCCUCGUCCUCCUCGUCCCUGUCUUGUCCUCGUCAUCCUCCUUGUCCUUAUCCUCCUCAUCCCUGUCUCGUCCUCCUCCUCCUUGUCCCCCUCGUCCUACUGGUCCUCAUCCUCCUUGUCCCUGUCUCAUCUUCGUGGUCCUCGUCCUCGUCCUCCUCGUGGUCCUCUUCAUCCCUGUCUCAUCCUCCUCGUCCUCCUCAUCUUCCUCGUCCUCCUGGUCCUCGUCCUCCUCAUCCCUGCCUUGUCCUCCUCAUCCUCAUUCUCCUCCUCUUCCUCGUCCUCUUGGUCCUGGUCCUCGUCCUCCUGGUCCUCGUCCACGUGCUCCUCCUUGUCCUCAUCCCCCUCAUCCCUGUCUCGUCCUUGUGGUCCUCCUGGUCCUCGUCCUUGUCCUCGUCCUCCUCAUCCUCCUGGUCCUUGUCCUUGUCCUCCUUGUCCCUGUCUAGUCCUCCUUGUCCUUGUCUCGUCCUCCUUGUCCCUUUGUCCUCACUCCUUCGUCCUCCUCAUCAUCUUCAUCCUCGUCCUCAUCCUCCUCGUGCUUGUUCUCACCCUCAUCCUCCUCGUCCUGCUCAUCCUCGUCCUCACCCCCGUCCUGGCCCCGUCCCCGCAGGGCGACGGGCUGGAGCUGGAGUACGAGAUGGUGCUCACCAAUCCUCCUCAUCAUCUUCAUCCUCGUCCUCAUCCUCCUCGUGCUUGUUCUCACCCUCAUCCUCCUCGUCCUGCUCAUCCUCGUCCUCACCCCCGUCCUGGCCCCGUCCCCGCAGGGCGACGGGCUGGAGCUGGAGUACGAGAUGGUGCUCACCAACGGGAAAUCCUUCUGGACCCGGCACUUCUCUGCUGACGAGUUCG
rnacentral:lncRNA from 1 species